GACGAACGCUGGCGGCGUGCUUAACACAUGCAAGUCGAACGGUAAGGCCCUUCGGGGUACACGAGUGGCGAACUGGUGAGUAACACGUGGGUGAUCUGCCCUGCACUUCGGGAUAAGCCCGGGAAAAUGGGUCUAAUACCGGAUAGGACUCCUGCCUGCAUGGGUGGGGGGGGAGAGCUUUUGCGGUGUGGGAUGGGCCCGCGGCCUAUCAGCUUGUUGGUGGGGUGAUGGCCUACCAAGGCGACGACGGGUAGCCGGCCUGAGAGGGUGACAGGCCACACUGGGACUGAGAUACGGCCCAGACUCCUACGGGAGGCAGCAGUGGGGAAUAUUGCACAAUGGGCGCAAGCCUGAUGCAGCGACGCCGCGUGAGGGAUGACGGCCUUCGGGUUGUAAACCUCUUUCAGCACAGACGAAGCGCAAGUGACGGUAUGUGCAGAAGAAGGACCGGCCAACUACGUGCCAGCAGCCGCCGUAA
rnacentral:rRNA from 1 species